rnacentral:rRNA from 1 species
GACGAACGCUGGCGGCGUGCUUAACACAUGCAAGUCGAACGGAAAGGCCCUGCUUUUGUGGGGUGCUCGAGUGGCGAACGGGUGAGUAACACGUGAGUAACCUGCCCUUGACUUUGGGAUAACUUCAGGAAACUGGGGCUAAUACCGGAUAGGAGCUCCUGCUGCAUGGUGGGGGUUGGAAAGUCUCGGCGGUUGGGGAUGGACUCGCGGCUUAUGAGCUUGUUGGUGGGGUAGUGGCUUACCAAGGCAUUGACGGGUAGCCGGCCUGAGAGGGUGACCGGCCACAUUGGGACUGAGGUACGGACCAGACUCCUACGGGAGGCAGCAGUGGGGAAUAUUGCACAAUGGGCGGAAGCCUGAUGCAGCAACGCCGCGUGCGGGAUGACGGCCUUCGGGUUGUAAACCGCUUUCGCCUGUGACGAAGCGUGAGUGACGGUAAUGGGUAAAGAAGCACCGGCUAACUACGUG